rnacentral:rRNA from 1 species
AUUGAACGCUGGCGGCAGGCCUAACACAUGCAAGUCGAGCGAGCGGCGGACGGGUGAGUAAUGUCUGGGAAACUGCCUGAUGGAGGGGGAUAAAUACUGGAAACGGUAGCUAAUACCACAUACCAUCAGAUGUGCCCAGGUGGGCUUAGCUGGUAGGUGGGGUAACGGCUCACCUAGGCGACGAUCCCUAGCUGGUCUGCGAGGAUGCCCAGCCACACUGGAAAUGAGACACGGUCCAGACUCCUACGGGAGGCAGCAGUGGGGAAUAUUGCACAAUGGGCGAAAGCCUGAUGCAGCCAUGCCGCGUGUGUGAAGAAGGCCUUCGGGUUGUAAAGCCCUUUCAGCGGGGAGGCGUUACCCGCAGAAGAAGCAACGGCUAACUCCGUGCCAGCAGCCGCGGUAAUUC